rnacentral:rRNA from 1 species
GGGGACCCGCAAGCGGUGGAUGAUGUGGAUUAAUUCGAUGCAACGCGAAAAACCUUACCUACCCUUGACAUGUACGGAAGCCCGGAGAGAUUCGGGCGUGCUCGAAAGAGAGCCGUAACACAGGUGCUGCAUGGCUGUCGUCAGCUCGUGUCGUGAGAUGUUGGGUUAAGUCCCGCAACGAGCGCAACCCUUGUCAUUAGUUGCUACAUUCAGUUGAGCACUCUAAUGAGACUGCCGGUGACAAACCGGAGGAAGGUGGGGAUGACGUCAAGUCCUCAUGGCCCUUAUGGGUAGGGCUUCACACGUCAUACAAUGGUACAUACAGAGGGCCGCCAACCCGCGAGGGGGAGCUAAUCCCAGAAAGUGUAUCGUAGUCCGGAUUGCAGUCUGCAACUCGACUGCAUGAAGUUGGAAUCGCUAGUAAUCGCGGAUCAGCAUGUCGCGGUGAAUACGUUCCUGGGUCUUGUACACACC